UGGUGUGGUGCUGUUCUGUACGGGCUGAAACUCUCUGCAGUUGGAUGGUGGCACUCUGUGGGUCGUGGCUGUCUCAGCUGUGGCAGACUCUUUAAUGAGUGGACUCCAGCCUGGGAAACAAUUCUCACUUGUGCCAGAAUAGUCAGAAACGCAUAGGAAGGUCCAAAGAGAAAUUCCUUGAAAAUGAGGGAAACUGCUGAAAAUCAGAUAACGGCCCUUUCAAAAGAAGUGACAAAG